rnacentral:lncRNA from 1 species
GAAAUAAAUAAACAUUGCUCUGCAAUUCAGCAAAAACGUUGAUCUCCAGUGUAAAACAUUUCAGUUUUCCAGCUUUCAAAAAGAAGAAAAUCACGCUUGCUGAUAUAUUUAAAGUAUCAUCAGAAUGUUUUCCAGUCAAUUCAAAACUAAGGACUAUAUUUCGUGUCCCAAUAAUGAGUUGAUGUCGGGCCAAAAACAGCGAGUGUUUGUUCAGCAGGAACAGGUUUCUCUUGACUGGCCUGAAGUGUACGUCUACGGGGCCGAACAGAAUGGGGGUCAGUACGGGGCCCAACAACAUCAGGGACCCACAGCUGUUUAUAAUGAGGGGUACUGGGCCCCAAACAAUGUGGGCCUCCCACCCGUCACCGACUUGAUGGACGAUGAGUACUGCCCCUCAACCACCACCACCAUUCCUAAUUUGGCCCUAAAACUGACUGACUACCUAAACUGCACCCUGGCCACUGCAUCUGCAAUGACUGUAACAUCUUUGUUUAUAACUCAUCUUCAUGUAUUUCUGUAG